rnacentral:rRNA from 1 species
AGUGAACGCUGGCGGUAGGCCUAACACAUGCAAGUCGAACGGCAGCACAGUAAGAGCUUGCUCUUACGGGUGGCGAGUGGCGGACGGGUGAGGAAUACAUCGGAAUCUACUUUUUCGUGGGGGAUAACGUAGGGAAACUUACUCUAAUACCGCAUACGACCUACGGUUGAAAGCAGGGGAUCUUCUGACCUUGCGCGAUUGAAUGAGCCGAUGUCGGAUUAGCUAGUUGGCGGGGUAAAGGCCCACCAAGGCGACGAUCCGUAGCUGGUCUGAGAGGAUGAUCAGCCACACUGGAACUGAGACACGGUCCAGACUCCUACGGGAGGCAGCAGUGGGGAAUAUUGGACAAUGGGCGCAAGCCUGAUCCAGCCAUACCGCGUGGGUGAAGAAGGCCUUCGGGUUGUAAAGCCCUUUUGUUGGGAAAGAAAAGCAGCAGGUUAAUACCCCGCUGUUCUGACGGUACCCAAAGAAUAAGCACCGGCUAACUUCGUG